rnacentral:rRNA from 1 species
UGGGGAAUUUUGGACAAUGGGCGCAAGCCUGAUCCAGCCAUGCCGCGUGCAGGAUGAAGGCCUUCGGGUUGUAAACUGCUUCUGUACGGAACGAAACGGCCUUGUCUAAUAAAGAGGGCUAAUGACGGUACCGUAAGAAUAAGCACCGGCUAACUACGUGCCAGCAGCCGCGGUAAUACGUAGGGUGCAAGCGUUAAUCGGAAUUACUGGGCGUAAAGCGUGCGCAGGCGGUGAUGUAAGACAGUUGUGAAAUCCCCGGGCUCAACCUGGGAACUGCAUCUGUGACUGCAUCGCUGGAGUACGGCAGAGGGGGAUGGAAUUCCGCGUGUAGCAGUGAAAUGCGUAGAUAUGCGGAGGAACACCGAUGGCGAAGGCAAUCCCCUGGGCCUGUACUGACGCUCAUGCACGAAAGCGUGGGGAGCAAACAGGAUUAGAUACCCUGGUAGUCCACGCCCUAAACGAUGUCAACUGGUUGUUGGGUCUUCACUGACUCAGUAACGAAGCUAACGCGUGAAGUGACCGCCUGGGAGA